UUUCCGACUGUCGAACGGCGGGUUGGCGCGGCUGGGUUUGGCCACCGCCUGGGGAGGCGGCGAGCGGGCAGGCUGGCCCAGGCCACGCCGGCCUGCCUUCGAAGGAGGAGGAGGAAGGUGGAAGGAAGUGGAAGGAGGGGAGGAGGAGGUGGGUGGCGACCGGGGGGGUUUCUUGCGGUGGGGUUUCGCCGGCGGCGGAGGUCGGGACCCGAAGGCAUCGACGGAGAGGGGGUUCCUCAGACAAUCGUGCGGUCGCAGCACCUCUGUGCCCAUUAGUGUAAGAUCACCUACCACAGAAAAACCUAAAGAAGAAGAGGACGUGAAUUAUUGGC
rnacentral:lncRNA from 1 species